CGUCGCCGGACACGGACAAACAGUGUGUGGGAAUUUUAAAUUUAAUGCUGUGGGUUCACCCUCGACAAAUAUUUUACCUCAGACAGUGGACACCUUCAGGAUCACCAAACGUCCUGUGAAGAUGCCGCCCGCCACUGGAGAAAAGAUCUGGCUGCAGACGCUGUGUGCUGUCCUCUCCCACACCAAAAACACAUGUGUCCCUUCCACGCCGUGCUCGUAGUCCUGGCAGCUUCCACACCAGGUUUCACUGCUCAAGCUACAGCCACCCAUCAAGAAGUUUCCACUGUGUAGGUGGAUGCGUGGGAGGUAGACAGAGGAGGGGUUUCCUCUGAGGUUGGCAUCCCCGAACACAGAAGAAACACAGAAAAAAAGGACUUCCCCUGUUUCAGUAAUGACGUGCGCACACACACACACACAUACACACACACACACAUAUAUGAAAAUCUCUGUUUUUCCAUCUGAGUGAUCUUAAGGUUUGAAUUAAUUUAAUUGAUGUGAAACACCAAAGCGCACAGACAUGCUCAGUAGAAUUUGUCAACACGUGUGUGUAGUCGUGCUGGUCGUAGAAGCCUCUAACCUGAA